rnacentral:rRNA from 1 species
CCUACGGGUGGCAGCAGUGGGGAAUAUUGGACAAUGGGGGGAACCCUGAUCCAGCCAUGCCGCGUGUGUGAAGAAGGCCCUCGGGUUGUAAAGCACUUUCAGUGGGGAAGAACGCCUGGUGGUUAAUACCCAUCAGGAAAGACAUCACUCACAGAAGAAGCACCGGCUAACUCCGUGCCAGCAGCCGCGGUAAUACGGAGGGUGCGAGCGGUAAUCGGAAUUACUGGGCGUAAAGCGCGCGUAGGUGGCUUGAUAAGCCGGUUGUGAAAGCCCCGGGCUCAACCUGGGAACGGCAUCCGGAACUGUCAAGCUAGAGUGCAGGAGAGGAAGGUAGAAUUCCCGGUGUAGCGGUGAAAUGCGUAGAGAUCGGGAGGAAUACCAGUGGCGAAGGCGGCCUUCUGGACUGACACUGACACUGAGGUGCGAAAGCGUGGGUAGCAAACAGGAUUAGAUACCCUAGUAGUC